rnacentral:lncRNA from 1 species
CAAAGGACAGCCAUUCAGAGUUGCAUCACGAGUCAGAGCUGGGUGGGCACUGAGUAUUGAUAGCUCAGACCCCUGAACAGAAGGUCACAGGGUAUGGUGAAGUGUAUCUGUCAUUCCAGCACUUCCCACACAAAAGCAGGAGGACCAAGUUUAUGGUUCUUCUUAACUGAAUAGUGAGUUUGAAGCCAGCCUAGCCAACAUAGCAGAGAGCAGACUACGGAGACAUGCCAGAGCAAUGGAAACCAGAAAUGAGGUAACUGGAGUGUCCGUGUUGAGAGAAGCCAGACGCAGGCAGCACCCCUGAGUUCCAAAGGAAAGGAGUCUGUGUGCUGCUCAUAAACUUGCAGCAGGCACUGGGACACCCCUCAUUUCAGACGUGGGGCCCUCAAGAUUCAAGGUGUGAAAGAGAGGCUCUAAUUACAGGCCUUGCCAGGAUGCUCGGCCGGCCGGCCGGUGUGGGUGAUUCAGCAAGCUUCUGACUUCUCUUUGAGUUCCUGCCAAAACGAGGUCAGGACUGGUUUGUUGGAGCUUGAGAACCUCAUCUCCCACAUCUAAUGAGGAAGCGUAAGUCUCUGGGCCGGGAAGGAAUGAUAGCAUUGCAGACUCUGGGGAGGAAGAGCUGGAGGCAGGGGCAUCACAGGUGCUCAGGCCCGAGGGUACUGGGCCAGCACUGACAAGCCAGGGGGUGUCCGUAUGAACUGAGACGACAAACUGGAUGAGGCAGCCAGAGACCAGCCCACUGCGAUGAGGAUGAUGUACCGAGUAAGAAAAGCGCACGAACCCUGGGCGGUGACCAGGAGAAGAUACGUGUUCUAGCUCCACUCACAUCUAGUCAAGCAUUAGAGAAUGUAAGAUCCACGAGCUCCAACAUGAAAGGAGGUGAUCCUGUCCCCUUAUACCGGAUACAAUGACACCUUGGCCUCAGAUGAGGCCCUUCUUCCCUGUGUGCUCUUAGUUCAAGAGAGUACCUGGACUGAGUAACACUCUCUGUCUUGUCUCCCUCUUUCUGCCCCUCCCUCGUCAUCAACCCCCAAAACCCACCUGCCCUCUUCAUUUGGGAGAUGGAUUCAACCUGCCAGGCUCAAUACGCUCUACCCUGUUCUGGAUGGCGCCAGCCUCAAGCCCAGGGGGCGUUUAGUCUGUCCUUACAAAAGGUCAACAUCUAUUUUAGAAAGAGGUACCUUAGAAAGUUACCUUUCCAGCUGGCAUGGUGCCACACACUUGCAAUUCCAGUAGUCAAGGAGGCCAAGAUAGGAGUAUCACAAGUCUGUGUCCAACCUGAGCUAUACAGUGGGACCCUGUCUCAAAAAAUAAAAUAAAAUCGAAACUGAGAAAAAUGGCUCAUUUGGUAAAGUGUUUCCUAUGCAAGCGUGGAGAGACCUGACUUUGUAUCCUCAGCACCCACAUUAAAGGUGCCACAUGCUGUGGCAUCUGUCUGCAAGCCCAUCACUGGAUAGUAUUCCCACAGCUGGUUGAUUAGCCAGCCUAGCCAAUCACAUGAGUGCUCAGGCCAGUGAUUGAAGGACCAAAACCAGAAGCUCUUACUAACCCAGGAGCUUACUGAUUGGCCAUUACUAACCCUGGAACUUCCUGAUUGGUCUUUGCUAACCCUGGAGUUUACUGAUUGGCCUUUACUAACCCUGGUGCUUACCGAUUGGUUCUUACUAACCUGGAGCUUACUGAUUGGCUCUUACUAACCUUGGAGCUUACUGAUUGGCUCUUACCCUGGUGCUUACUGAUUGGCCUUUACUAACCCUGGAACUUCCUAAUUGGCUCUUACUGACCCUGGAGCUUACUGAUUGGCUCUUACUAACCCUGAAGCUUACUGAUUGGUUCUUACUAACCCUGGAGCUUACUGAUUGGUUCUUACUAACCCUGGAGCUUACUGAUUGGCUACACACACACACACACACACACACACUACACUACUACAGUCACACAAAAAUAGUCAAAUCAAAUUAAUAUGAAGUCACCUUAUUCUAGCUUUUUAGAGCUGAGAUCUCCCUCUGCUUGUCUGCUUGUCCUGUAUGUUACCUCUGUGUCAUUCUGAGCUUGGGAGGUACAAGUUUAGAUCUAGCUUGUCCCCAUCAAAAUUAGUGCUGAGGCUUGAUCCCAAAGUAGUGGUGCUGAGAGGUGGUGAGGCAUUUAAGAGACUACAAGGAAUCUGCCAUCAUGAAUAACUCAAUGUUUUUCUCCUAGGAGCGGGUUAGUGGCCAUAAGAGUCCACCUCCCCUGUUCUGCAGAAACUUACCACCACUCCUUCCCCCCAUCUAUGAGAAGCAUGAAGCCUACACCAUAAGAUGGUAGAUCUAAUCUUCCAGCCUUCAGACCACAGAGCAAAUUAAAACCUGCCUUGCCUUGCCUUGCCUUGCCUUGCCUUGCCUUGCCUUGCCUUGCCUUGCCUUGCCUUGCCUUGCCUUGCCUUGCCUUGCCUUGCCUUGCCUUUUCUCCCUUCCUCCCUUCCUCCCUUCCUCCCUUCCUCCCUUCCUCCCUUCCUCCCUCCCUCCCUCUCUCCCUCCC